CGAGCCCCGCCCCGACCCCCAUCUUGCCGGCGGGACGAGGUGAGCAGACCCGAAUGCUGCCCGCGACGGCGGGUGCAGCGAGCACGACCAUCUAUCACUGCUACUCAGGUGCUUUGAAGUCCUAGUGAGAUGUGGUGGUUUCAGCAAGGACUCAGCUUUCUCCCUUCAGCCCUUGUUAUUUGGACAGCUGCUGCUUUCAUCUUUUCAUACAUUACUGCGAUAACUCUUCACCAUGUGGACCCUGCAUUGCCCUAUAUCAGUGACACUGGAACAGUGGCUCCAGAAAAAUGCUUGUUUGGGGUAAUGUUAAAUAUCGCUGCAGUCUUGUGUGUUGCCACCAUAUAUGUUCGUUAUAAGCAAGUUCAUGCUCUCAGUCCCGAGGAGCCUCGGAUCAUCAAAUUAAACAAGGCUGGCCUUGCAUUCGGAUUACUUAGUUGCUUAGGACUUUCUAUCGUGGCAAACUUCCAGAAAACAACAAUCUUUGCUGCACACGUAUGUGGAGCUGUGCUCACUUUUGGCCUGGGAUCCCUUUAUAUGUUUGUUCAGACAAUCAUCUCUUAUAAAAUGCAGCCUAAAGUUCAUAGCAAACAAGUCUUCUGGAUCCGGCUGAUGGUGGUUGUCUGGUGUGGAGUGAGCGCGUUUAGCAUGCUGACUUGCUCCUCCCUUUUACACAGUGGCCAUUUUGGUUCCGAUGUAGUACAGAAGCUCCACUGGAACCCUGAAGACAAAGGAUAUGUACUUCAUAUGAUCACCACUGCAGCAGAAUGGUCCAUGUCUUUUUCUUUCUUUGGUUUUUUCCUGACUUAUAUUCGUGAUUUUCAGAAAAUUUCCUUACGUGUAGAAGCUAAUUUACAAGGACUGACUCUUUAUGACACUGCCCCUGGCCUUGUUAACAGUGAAAGAACCCAUCUACUUUCAAAGGAUUCAUGACAAAGGGAGAAGCUGUAUCUGUGAUGAUUAUGAUUCUCAGGGAUUGGCAGAUUGUUCCUGAAAAGUACUUACUAUGCUGUCAGAUUUCUAACCACUUAAUCAAGGCCAACAAAGACACUGCUUAAUAAUGUUACUCAGAUGACACGUAAUAAGCCAUUUGACAAGUGAUUUUAAGGGAUAUUAUCCAGAGAGGCAUUUAAAGCAUAUUUACUCCUUUUUUAAAAAUUUCUGAAAAUAAAACCAAAGGACUCUGUAUGUGUAUAUAUAUAGAAAGAGAGCAUUGUAAUUUUUCUUCCUUUUUAAGUGGAAGCAACUGGAAGUGCACAGAACAUUCUGCAGAAACCAGUUUUUCACAGGACACGCUGUAGAAAAAAGCUUUUCACAGCUUGCAAUUCAUUACAGUCCAUGUUUUGUCUGGAGUACCAUAUGUCUGGUACAGGUAUGAGAGUAUUGUAUUCUAGAACUUUGAAUACUCAAGGAACUUCUGCUAGAGUUUAUUCAAUAUUUCCUCUAGAACCAAAGUUAGACAUAGUGCAUGCCAUGUUAACUAAGCUUUUUUUUUUUUUAAUCACAAACUGUAAUUGUACAUGGCCUCAAGAUGGCCUUUAGGAUAAAGUUAAAGAAGCCUGAUUCCUUAAGCCUCUGGUGCCCCAACAGAGAAUUGUUUUAAAGUGCAGUCAGUCUGGAUCUAGCAAAAGACAACAGGUCACAGCCUUAAGGUCCCAAUGUCAAAGCAUUGCAUGAAGAUGGGCACUAUCUUGGUUUUGCCAUGAAAUAUUAGACAUUUUGCCAGGGUCAGUACUGCCUUCUUUGCAUAUUUACAACAACUUCAGAGAAUUUUGUUUCUGUCUGAGAUACAUCAUCUAACAGAGAUAGGUGAUAGGUAUACUAUAGGUAAAGAGCUUUUCAGUGGAAUGUGCUGUGUUCACAACAGAAACGUUCUUGGAGCUAGGAAGUUUGAGUAAUCAGUAAUUAACCUUGCCAAAGGAUCUCUAAACUAUCAUGAUUUGAAUCUGUUUAAAGAACUGUGUGCCCAACAGAAAAGAAAACUGGAUGGAGAAUGGUUAUGAUGGACCAAGUUUUAUGAACCAUUUCCUCUCCUGCCUUUUCAUUUCAUACUAGAGUCUAGAUAGAGUCCUGAGUUUUCAAGGCCUCUACCUGAGGCCCUGGCUGUACAAGCAAAUCAUAUACUAUUAAGGUCUUUAGUCAUUUGCAAGAGAUGAAGGUUCUUAAAAGAAGAGAAUUAGCUCAUGUGAGAGUUGCCUUUGGGGUAGAUCGUUUUCCAAGAGAAAUGAUUGCCGUAAAUACAUAGAGAUCGUUGUGCAAGGCCAGAGAAAUUAAUGGAGAUAAAGAUGGCUUUUACUUUUUUAUAUUAAUAUAUAUUUCAGGUCUUCAAAUGAAACUAACAUUCACAACAGGAAGAAUCCAAAGUUAUAAACAUUCUGUGCCUAUUCAUACUUCUACUAUCAAGAGGCGAUCAUCUCUCUGAAGUGAUAGAUUCUACCCAAAGUAAGACUAUUGGUCACCAUCAAUGUAAAAUCAUAGAAUUUUCCAUUUGUAAGGACCUUUAGAAGUUUACCUCGUGUCAGAAUCCCCUCUGAAGCUUCAUGCCAGAUAGCCAUUCAAUUUGUGUUUGAAGGAUUCCACUGACAAACUCCCUUGUGAGAGAAAUGUCUUAAAAGAUGUCUGGAACUGGGAAGGAAGAAGGAUUAGAGAAGAAGCAGACUUCUUGUGGCAUGUAAGCAAGAGGGGUCUACAUAAGAAUGAGCAUCUGAUGAUCCUGCUUAGUUAACUACAGAGUAUUUCUAGAUAAGCUGCUUUAUCCGGGCACCUCUAGUGUGGAUGUUGUCUACAUAGCUUGUUUGUCUAUAAAAGUGUAAGGGUGAUCUUUGGCACAAGCAAACUGAGCAGAGUCUUGCAGGAAGUUAGGGAAACUAAGGCAAAGGUGACAGGACAGAACAUUCCAUCCAGAGGGUAUGUGGGUGUGAUGCAGAUAAUGAACCAGCAAAGGAAGCAAGUAGUUAGAUAAGAGAACAGAGUCACAGGAGCUUAGUGAAGAGUGUCCAGAAGAAAUGAAAGCAUUCUAAUGCUCCAGAAUAGGCCAAGAAGGAUGAGGACUGUGAAAAGACCAUUAGAUUUGGCAACUAAUACAUCCACAGAGAGGGUAGCAUUUAGUAGAGAAAGCUUUAUCAAGGAGUUAGCCACAAAAGAGAGAAGAGAUAUAGAGCAGUAGCUAGCAGGCAUGGUAGGAUCAAGUGAUUUUUUUUUUUAUAUAAGUGGGGCAGAUAAGGGGUGAGUUUUAUAAAGUGUAAGAAAAGUGUAAGUAAAAAUAAGUUUGGAUCGUCAAAAGCUAAGAAAAGUUGAUUGAUGGGUCAGCACAGCUAAUGGAGAUCCCAACUGGGCCCUGCCACUAAAGAUGAUCUGUGUAGGCUUCCCCCACGCAUCUAUAAGGAGGAGGUAUUUCACUGAGGUUUGUGUUACGUUUGAGACUAAGGCAGUUUUCAAACUGUUCCUUUUUUUUUUUUUUGAAAGAAGGAUCACAAUGUAGAAGUAAAAAGCCAAUGAAGUUUGUUGCAGUUUAGCUGUUUUGUUUUGACAUUUCCUUCCUAAUCCCUGUUUUCUUUGACCUUGGCUACUGAUCCUUCAGGGAAGACGGUUUGAGGACAUAUAUAAUAUAACAACAACACCAAUAAUCGCAUGUAUGUGGCAGUUUAAGGUUGCAAAGCACUUUGCAUAUAUUAACAUUGAUUACAGAUGAAGUGUUGGUUUUUCUCAGCAUACCUGGGUUUGUUCUGAUUUGAUCCAACGCUACUCCAAAUCCAGGAUGUGGAGUACAUUUCCUAGAGUUAAGAGGUGGCUAGGGGGUGCAAUGGACAGAGUGCUAGGCUAUGAGUCAAGAAGACCAGAGUUCAAAUCCUACCGUAGAAGCUUAAUACCUACUGGACUUUACCACAGGAUAAAUCAUUAACCUUUUUUUGCCUAAGUUUUCUCAGCUAUAAAAUGAGGGUAUUGGAUCCUAUGGUCUUUAAGGAAGAAAGGGAAUAUGUGAUCAUUGAGUAAGAAUGGAUUUAUUGAGAACAUUCUGACCUCAUUUCCUUUUUUUUUUUUUUGGAGGGGGGCAGGCAGGGCAAUUGGGGUUAAGUGACUUGCC